AGUCCAGAAGCUUUCCUAUACCGGCACGUCCCGGCAGCAUGUCCAUCAACUUCUCCAACUCUCCCAUGUCUAGCCUCACCGUCAGCGAGCCUCACCGUCACCACGAGCAAACAAACAGCAGCAGUAGUUCUCCUCGGAAACCGGUCUUACUACUGUGAAAUUUCUGUUCAAUGGAUAUUAGACUGAUUGUAGGCGAUGUGAUUUAAUAGCGCAAUAAGAAAAGUUCAGAAGAGUAAGUAUAUCAUAUAGUCAUAGAUUCAGUCACUAUUUAUUUUGGAGGUGGCAAUGCAAGUUAGUCCUAAAACUAUAUAUAAGUUGUUCAUCGAGAGCCCUAACUUGCCCAUAGACCAGUGUUCACCUGCUUAUGUGGCGCUUAACUGUUGUCAUGUAGACAUACUCUAUGCAAAAUGGCCCUUACAAAAAUAUAAUGGAAAAUCCACUCUCAAAAAUGUCGUACAACCACAUUGAAGAAGUGAGAUGUUUUUGGUUGAGCAUCUCAGACAAGUAGUCCAGUAUUCCUAGGUGGUGCACAAGUUGCCGAGCAGCUUAUGUUACGGAAUCAGCCAGGUACCGUCAGGCUCACCUGAACUGGAUGAAGUGGUGCACAAGUUGCCGGCAGCCUGACGGAAUCAGCCAGGCACCGGAAGUCACCGGGCAUGGAGACAUCGAUGUGAGCUCUAAUCUUGAUCGUGGCCAGUUGGUGAUGGCCGAGUCGUCCGCAUAGAGUAACAAGCAGCAACGUCAGCCGAGCAGUUGGGCAGCCGUGGUGUGCGGUCGUGCGCUGCCAAGGUCGUGGGCUGUUGAUGUGCAUGUAAGUUUGUUAGUGCUACUUGUGUGGGUUGUUAGCUACAUGAACGGCCAGGUCGUGUGUGCGUGGUGAGACCUCAUUUUCAAGGUUACAUGCUGAUUAGGAUUCUUUCUUUCUAACUAACCACCCUCCUGAUUUUCAAGGGGGUGGGACCCUCAUCCCCUUAAUCUUCAAUCAAAAUCCACCUGUUUGUAAAAUCUAUGUGAAGUUAUGUAUGUGUAGAAUUGCUCGGGCAAGAGGCUAGUUAGGAAAAAAAAAUCUAGUCAACUUGUAACCUUUCGUAAGUCUUUGUAUGUUUAACAUUACUGGGUAAGAUGGUCGUCUACAUUUCAGAUCUUGCAGCGUCGAACGAGUCCGCCCCGAACAGGUCGUCGACGUAGGCCACCAGCCGUGUCGUCUCCGUGAGCCCCGACGAAAGCCCGGUCAGCACCGGCACCAAGCGGGCGCAUCCCUCGGACAUGAGCGUCUCGAUGGUGGCGCUCGGGGGCAGGUCAGAGAGGUCGAUGGGAA
rnacentral:lncRNA from 1 species